CUCAUAUCGCCGCGAAGUGAGGUACAGAAUAUAUUGUUUAUAUAACCAAGAUUUUAACAAAUACGAUAGCCGCUGAGGAAAAUAACUUGCAUCGAAAAACGUAGUCCACAAAAUUAGCUUUCAAACGAGAGCUUUUUCAAGAAAUUUGGACAAAAGACAGUCAAGAUAUCGUCAUUCGAAAACAGGGGAUUUUGCAGUUUUAUCGUGGACUUCGGUUUGUUAAUUUUCUACUGUUUUGCGGCCAAAAUUUGAAGGGGCUGAAAAAUCGCUCUGAGCUUCAAAAUUUAAAUUUUCAACCAGGAGAGUGUCUACUACAGAGGUCCAGUCCGGCGAAUGGAGCACCUAGCUCUGGAAAUGAUUUAUGCCAUGCUGAUGCUUCGGAUUCACGCGUUUACGCCACCUAAAUUAUAAGUUCCAAGCACAUGGAAGAAGUUGCUUGGGUUGCAGAGGUGAUGAAAUCACCUGGCGAAGCGAUAAACCAGGACAGAAAAGCAUGUGUAUACCAUGUAUCGACUGCCCGGAGGGAAUGGAACCCUCGAUUCCUUGCGGCGGAACCGCGAACACACCUACAUUGUGUGGCAUGCAGGCAGGGAACCUAUUCAGACAAUUACGGGAAAGGGCCCUGUAGGCCGUGAUGCUCCCUAUGCUCUAUUAGACGCACAGUGAGAAGGAACUGUUCUGCGACUCGGAACACUCAAUUUGGCUCUUGUAAGUUUGGUUAUUACUGGAAAGUUGUCAUCAUCAACCUGCUUUACCAUUGCCUGCCAUGUUCUGUCUGCUGUGAAGACGGUAAAGAUCAGUCAGGGAAGCAGUGCAAAGACCAAGGGCUGCCAAGGCAGCGACUUUGCAAACCCAGAGCCGCGCCCAGCUGUCAACUGUUUUGGAAAACUCCAAAGGCCACGUCAAGCACAUCAUUUUUAGACACAAAUCACACGGCAAAGAAGGAGGCAAGCCGAAAGGGACAGGCAGAGGAAGUUUCUUUGGUUCCCUCGCGAAGAACACCGGAGCCGUUUGCAAGAACCACUGCCACGACCACAACUUGCACGCUUCUUUGAAAGGAUGAAGUGUGGUCCCAUCCUGAGGUGUAGAGACGCUGAACUCGGUAAGCAAACAGAGAGAACUGCGUUAGAUGACAUCAAGCAAUCGAUAGACUCUGUGCCACUAGGAGAUUUUUAGUUCUGAUCUCCUUAAAAGAUUUGAAGUCCCUUUCAUUUGACACAUAUACCAAAGUGUGGAAACGACUAGAUAAACAGGAAGAAGGAAGGAGCAAAGGUGACUUCAGAGAUGUGGCUUUACGCUUCAUGUAUUUUAAUAGAAGAAGACGUUUGGGAACUGGAGAAAGAAUUUAGAACUUCUGGUUCAAGAAGUCCUUCAAGACCGGCUUUUAGAAGGUCUAGAAACUAGACAACCUGACCUUACUGUGUUAGAGUUUACCAGAGUUCUUCUGGAACCAAAUAUACUAAGGAACGAUGUCGUUGAAAUUUUGAAAGACUUUCUUCAUAGAUAAGUGAAAUUUGUCGGUUUCAGACAGAGGAGGCUCGUAGGUGACGAAAGACUUGGUGACAAAAGGCGUAGAAUAGGAGUUCUUGGCAACAGUUCCAUGCCGGUUUAGUUUACUACUUAUAUUGGAUUUAAUAUUUCCAGCAUGAACGAGAUUAACUGGAAACGGGUCACGACUACAUUCAUUUCUCACAUUUACACUUCAAGGGUAGCGAAAACUCAUGACACGAAACAAGAGUGAGCGUUACUUUCGCUGUUCCGAGAUGAGUUGUGUUGCAUGCAGCUUUGUAGGUUUUCCAUAAGGACAGUUAUCAUAAGGAUGGUUUUUUUCUGAAUUUGAUGCAAUGUUUAGCGAUGUUUUGGGAAUAAAACUGAC